UACGGAGGGUGCGAGCGUUAAUCGGAAUUACUGGGCGUAAAGGGCGCGUAGGCGGCUCGAUAAGUUGGAUGUGAAAGCCCCGGGCUCAACCUGGGAAUUGCAUCCAAAACUGUUGGGCUAGAGUACGGUAGAGGGGGGUGGAAUUCCCGGUGUAGCGGUGAAAUGCAUAGAGAUCGGGAGGAACAUCAGUGGCGAAGGCGGCCCCCUGGACUGAUACUGACGCUGAGGUGCGAAAGCGUGGGGAGCAAACAGG
rnacentral:misc_RNA from 1 species